GUAUAAGUAAAAUUAACAAUUAUUAUAUUAAAAGUUAUUAUUCUUCCUUUUAUUCUCUAAAAUACAUUCUUCUCCUUUCUGGUGAGAAUAAUUUGAACUUCUCACCUUUGACUUCAGAAAAAGAACCAACCCUGCUAUACAAUUCAUCACCUAAAAACAAAACCUUCUGCUAAGUAUAAUUCUUUUCACUAAGUACAGAAGCUAAAUUCACACUAACAUAUAUACAGAUGACCAAAAGACUAGCAUAUAUAUACAACAAGCUAACCAAAACUACAAUAAAAACCUUAUGAAGGUGCCAAUAAGGGAUUUUUUUGUUUUCUUUUCCUUGUUGUAUAUAUGGAAGAAAAUAGAUACAUACAUGUGUGUAUAUAUAUAUAUAUAUAUAUAUAUAUAUAUAUAUAUAUAUAUAUAUAUAUAUAUAUAUAUAGAUGUGUAAGAAUUGAAAUUUCAAUUGUUGUGUGAGGGUGUGAUCUUGAUAACAAGGCCUGGGAAGACAUCAUCAGGGUCAUGGAUAUGAGGGUUUUUUUCCACUAUGAAGGGGUCACCACAUUUGUCACUGAUUGUGUGAAGUGUCUCUCCUUCUCCGACCACAUAGAUUUCAUCACAAGGCUUCGACAACACUUGUUUACCCCUCAGCUUCCCUUCAUCAUCCUCCUCAAGAACAGAACUCUCACUGAAUAUGCACAGCAGUAUGAGGGUCACGAGGAGACAUGCACAGAACCAUGAUGCUGCAUCAACCAUGGCUUUUGAAUUUGAUGCUUUUCUUGGAUUCAGAGCCAUCACUUAGAGAGAGAAAUAUGAAAGAGAGAGUGAGUCUGAGUUUUGGUGAUCUAUCAGAGAUGAUAGGUUGUACGAAAGAG
rnacentral:lncRNA from 1 species